AGCGAACGCUGGCGGCAGGCCUAACACAUGCAAGUCGAACGGAUCCUUCGGGAUUAGUGGCGGACGGGCGAGUAACACGUGGGAACGUGCCCUUUGGUUCGGAACAACUCAGGGAAACUUGAGCUAAUACCGGAUGUGCCCUUCGGGGGAAAGAUUUAUCGCCAUUGGAGCGGCCCGCGUCUGAUUAGCUAGUUGGUGAGGUAAAGGCUCACCAAGGCGACGAUCAGUAGCUGGUCUGAGAGGAUGAUCAGCCACAUUGGGACUGAGACACGGCCCAGUCUCCUACGGGAGACAGCAGUGGGGAAUCUUGCGGAAUGGGCGAAAGCCUGACGCAGCCAUGCCGCGUGAAUGAUGAAGGUCUUAGGGUUGUAAAAUUCUUUCACCGGGGACGAUAAUGACGGUACCCGGAGAAGAAGCCCCGGCUAACUUCGUGCCAGCCGCCGCGGUAAUAC
rnacentral:rRNA from 1 species